rnacentral:rRNA from 1 species
GGGUUGUGAGGUUAAGCGACUAAGCGUACACGGUGGAUGCCCUGGCAGUCAGAGGCGAUGAAGGACGUGCUAAUCUGCGAUAAGCGUCGGUAAGGUGAUAUGAACCGUUAUAACCGGCGAUUUCCGAAUGGGGAAACCCAGUGUGAUUCGUCACACUAUCAUUAACUGAAUCCAUAGGUUAAUGAGGCGAACCGGGGGAACUGAAACAUCUAAGUACCCCGAGGAAAAGAAAUCAACCGAGAUUCCCCCAGUAGCGGCGAGCGAACGGGGAGCAGCCCAGAGCCUGAAUCAGUGUGUGUGUUAGUGGAAGCGUCUGGAAAGGCGCGCGAUACAGGGUGACAGCCCCGUACACAAAAAUGCACAUAUUGUGAGCUCGAUGAGUAGGGCGGGACACGUGGUAUCCUGUCUGAAUAUGGGGGGCCCAUCCUCCAAGGCUAAAUACUCCUGACUGACCGAUAGUGAACCAGUACCGUGAGGGAAAGGCGAAAAGAACCCCGGCGAGGGGAGUGAAAAAGAACCUGAAACCGUGUACGUACAAGCAGUGGGAGCACGCUUAGGCGUGUGACUGCGUACCUUUUGUAUAAUGGGUCAGCGACUUAUAUUCUGUAGCAAGGUUAACCGAAUAGGGGAGCCGAAGGGAAACCGAGUCUUAACUGGGCGUUAAGUUGCAGGGUAUAGACCCGAAACCCGGUGAUCUAGCCAUGGGCAGGUUGAAGGUUGGGUAACACUAACUGGAGGACCGAACCGACUAAUGUUGAAAAAUUAGCGGAUGACUUGUGGCUGGGGGUGAAAGGCCAAUCAAACCGGGAGAUAGCUGGUUCUCCCCGAAAGCUAUUUAGGUAGCGCCUCGUGAAUUCAUCUCCGGGGUAGAGCACUGUUUCGGCAAGGGGGUCAUCCCGACUUACCAACCCGAUGCAAACUGCGAAUACCGGAGAAUGUUAUCACGGGAGACACACGGCGGGUGCUAACGUCCGUCGUGAAGAGGGAAACAACCCAGACCGCCAGCUAAGGUCCCAAAGUCAUGGUUAAGUGGGAAACGAUGUGGGAAGGCCCAGACAGCCAGGAUGUUGGCUUAGAAGCAGCCAUCAUUUAAAGAAAGCGUAAUAGCUCACUGGUCGAGUCGGCCUGCGCGGAAGAUGUAACGGGGCUAAACCAUGCACCGAAGCUGCGGCAGCGACGCUUAUGCGUUGUUGGGUAGGGGAGCGUUCUGUAAGCCUGCGAAGGUGUGCUGUGAGGCAUGCUGGAGGUAUCAGAAGUGCGAAUGCUGACAUAAGUAACGAUAAAGCGGGUGAAAAGCCCGCUCGCCGGAAGACCAAGGGUUCCUGUCCAACGUUAAUCGGGGCAGGGUGAGUCGACCCCUAAGGCGAGGCCGAAAGGCGUAGUCGAUGGGAAACAGGUUAAUAUUCCUGUACUUGGUGUUACUGCGAAGGGGGACGGAGAAGGCUAUGUUGGCCGGGCGACGGUUGUCCCGGUUUAAGCGUGUAGGCUGGUUUUCCAGGCAAAUCCGGAAAAUCAAGGCUGAGGCGUGAUGACGAGGCACUACGGUGCUGAAGCAACAAAUGCCCUGCUUCCAGGAAAAGCCUCUAAGCAUCAGGUAACAUCAAAUCGUACCCCAAACCGACACAGGUGGUCAGGUAGAGAAUACCAAGGCGCUUGAGAGAACUCGGGUGAAGGAACUAGGCAAAAUGGUGCCGUAACUUCGGGAGAAGGCACGCUGAUAUGUAGGUGAAGUCCCUUGCGGAUGGAGCUGAAAUCAGUCGAAGAUACCAGCUGGCUGCAACUGUUUAUUAAAAACACAGCACUGUGCAAACACGAAAGUGGACGUAUACGGUGUGACGCCUGCCCGGUGCCGGAAGGUUAAUUGAUGGGGUCAGCGCAAGCGAAGCUCUUGAUCGAAGCCCCGGUAAACGGCGGCCGUAACUAUAACGGUCCUAAGGUAGCGAAAUUCCUUGUCGGGUAAGUUCCGACCUGCACGAAUGGCGUAAUGAUGGCCAGGCUGUCUCCACCCGAGACUCAGUGAAAUUGAACUCGCUGUGAAGAUGCAGUGUACCCGCGGCAAGACGGAAAGACCCCGUGAACCUUUACUAUAGCUUGACACUGAACAUUGAGCCUUGAUGUGUAGGAUAGGUGGGAGGCUUUGAAGUGUGGACGCCAGUCUGCAUGGAGCCGGCCUUGAAAUACCACCCUUUAAUGUUUGAUGUUCUAACGUGGACCCGUGAUCCGGGUUGCGGACAGUGUCUGGUGGGUAGUUUGACUGGGGCGGUCUCCUCCUAAAGAGUAACGGAGGAGCACGAAGGUUGGCUAAUCCUGGUCGGACAUCAGGAGGUUAGUGCAAUGGCAUAAGCCAGCUUGACUGCGAGCGUGACGGCGCGAGCAGGUGCGAAAGCAGGUCAUAGUGAUCCGGUGGUUCUGAAUGGAAGGGCCAUCGCUCAACGGAUAAAAGGUACUCCGGGGAUAACAGGCUGAUACCGCCCAAGAGUUCAUAUCGACGGCGGUGUUUGGCACCUCGAUGUCGGCUCAUCACAUCCUGGGGCUGAAGUAGGUCCCAAGGGUAUGGCUGUUCGCCAUUUAAAGUGGUACGCGAGCUGGGUUUAGAACGUCGUGAGACAGUUCGGUCCCUAUCUGCCGUGGGCGCUGGAGAACUGAGGGGGGCUGCUCCUAGUACGAGAGGACCGGAGUGGACGCAUCACUGGUGUUCGGGUUGUCAUGCCAAUGGCACUGCCCGGUAGCUAAAUGCGGAAGAGAUAAGUGCUGAAAGCAUCUAAGCACGAAACUUGCCCCGAGAUGAGUUCUCCCUGACCCUUUAAGGGUCCUGAAGGAACGUUGAAGACGACGACGUUGAUAGGCCGGGUGUGUAAGCGCAGCGAUGCGUUGAGCUAACCGGUACUAAUGAACCGUGAGGCUUAACCUUACAACGCCGAAG